rnacentral:misc_RNA from 1 species
UAGAGAGUAAACAAAGGGGAACA